CUCCUCAGUCAGGAAUGUCAUAUAGCAGGUUGAGGUACAUGAGCACAGUGCUGAAGGGAAAUGUAAGCAGCAAGAAGGAAAUGUGUGUUCACAUACUCUACAUAUGACACAUGAGCAAUAAUUAUGAGUCUUCCUGGGGCUUUCAGUGGGAAUGACAGCAACGGCACUCCACUGAAUGUGUCACAAAGGUGUCAGCUGAGGUGCACGGAGAGCAGAGGGUUGUAUGAGGGAGGACAUCGAGCAGAAAGAAAUGCAUUUCAACCACACAACUCCACAUAUUUCACCCACAAACCCCAAACCUGGAUUUCCUGGUUACUAUGCACUCAUCCCCUUUGUACUACUUACUUUGAUUGGAUGUGUAGUGGCAAUGGUUAUUUAUAUCAGGAGGAGAUCAAGAUUAGACGAGCUGCGCCACAGGCUGAUUCCUCUGUACAGCUAUGACCCGGCGGAGGAACAAGACGACUGGGGGAACUCUGGCAAGGAGAAUGAGGAGGAGCUGGCUGAACCUUUGUACAAGGAGGGAAGGCUUUCCAUUUCAUCUGACUGUGGGAUAUGAGCAGAAAAUCAAGAAAGAAAGAACAACAUGCCUGAUUAGAGGAAGAAAACUUCCUUUAGUUUUUUGUAUUGCAGAUGCUAUUCAAAUAUAGACUUAUUAGCGCCACAUCCAAUCAUUCAAUUACCAUUUACUCCCUCUACGCAGAACAGCAGAUGGCACUGUAAUCUUGUCUUUUAUAUAUAUUUUCCAAAAUGGCAGGGGGAUAAGGUGUUAUUUUUUGGGCAAUAAACUGAAAGCUAAAAUCUAAUUUAAAAGCUAUUUGUUUUGUGUGCGUGUGUGUGUGUGUAUCUUUAAAAUUAUUUAUCAGUUAAGCUGAAAGAGUUUCAAAGACACACCUGUUUCUGCUUGGUAAUCAGGGGGUUUGCUGGUGUUUGGAGGUUCCUCAGGUUGACAUAACAUCACUUGUUCAGGGGCCUUUUACAGUACAGGAAGAUGGGAUCACCAAGAACAAGCAGUUUGGAUGUCCAUCUGUUGGGACCACGCUGGUUCCUGACCUCCAUCCUGUUGGCCACAGCUCUGGUCCUCCCUGCUUUGAGCCUAGACAGCCUGAUGUGUUACUACUGUCCUCUGCAGCACAAAGGCAAGUCCUGCCCCAACAUCACAAGCCAGUGCCUGCCUGAUCAGCGCUGCUCCAACUCCAGAGGUCGCUACGGCUCCAUCCACAUCCUGUCUGCUCAGGGUUGCGUGGACACUGAACUCUGUGGCUUCCAUGAAAGCAUCUCUUAUCGGGGGGUCAAGUACAAUGUCACCCACACCUGCUGCUGCAAAGACCAAUGCAACUUCCUGCCAAAGUCUGACUCCAACAUUAAGAUGCUACUGGGCAUGAUCACAGACAAAACAAAUUUCACUAACAUCACUAAUGUUCUUAGAGAGGAGCCUUGGGAUUCAUGUGCAAAUUACACAACAUUAAGGAGCUCCAUGUCACCUACCACUGUGUCAUAGAAGUGCUUGUAGAAGGCUGGGGAGAGGCCUGUUAGCCAUAGGUACUUACAUUAGUCUCCACAAGGUGGCCACACAUUUACAUGUUUGUGAUUAUUAGUAUUUUACAAAAAAAUGCAUCAUGAUCAGUAUUUUGCUCUGGAGAGAAAAAAGGUGGACUUGUCAGCCACCCUCCUGGUAUACAAGAGUAAAUGCAUUAUUUAUGUGGUUACUGAUGAAUUCAGCAAAAUAAAAGCACCAUGAUUAAGAUCCCA